rnacentral:lncRNA from 1 species
CUUCACAAGAAUUAGAUCUUCAUCAGUUUCUCUUUUUUUUUUCCUUCAAUAAUCCAUAACAUAAACACAAAUUACCAUAUUUGUUUAACAGUUAGGUAUCAUCCAACAUUCCAUUUAUAAUCUGACAAGUCAGUCAUCCUGACAAUAUUAACACCACACAAGUAAGUUUAACUCAAGUUGCAUAUUCCGGUCAUUAGAAAACAAAACUAAUGCCACUAGCCCAUCACCGGGUAACCAAUUCCUCCGCCCAUCUUAUUCCAUAAUUUUCAAUCAAUAUCCGCCUCUUCAAGGCCGAAUGAAUAAUCCUAUGAAGAUGCCAAUCCCCAUUUCAUCAAUAUUUUUAAUUAUUCCCUGUCAGAAAUAUCAUUAUAAUACCUCUCUCCUAAAACUUGGAAGGGAAUGCUAACACUAAUAAAUUUUCAUUAGUGUUAUUAGUCUCCCAUAUCAGGAUCGGCUAAUCAAGUUCAUUGUAAACGUCAAAAUUAAUACCACUGAUUGAUGUAUCGACUAUUUCUAACAUGAAAUAGCCAGUCAGAUUUUUCUUUCCAUAAUAUCUUGGAAUAUUUCCGGAAAUGUUGAUGUCAAGAUUCUUGACAUCAUUAGCUUUCACUUCAGGAAUAGCUAGUCAAGUUUCAUAUGAUUGCCGUUAUCGACAACACCGGUCGAUAUCAUUAACUAUUCUCACCUGAAUAGUUAAUCAAAUUCAGUAUCCCUCGUUUUCAGGGAUGAUUAUGCCGAUAUUAGUAAACCUUACUAACAUCAUUAGCCUCCGCAUUCGGGACCGGCUAAUCAAGUUUCGUGUGAUUGCCGAUAUCGACAGCACUGGUCAAUAUCAUUAACUAUUCUCACCCGAAUAGUUAAUCAAGUUCAGUAUCCCUCGUUUUCAGGGAUGAUUAUGCUGAUGUUAGUAAACCUUACUAACAUCAUUAGCCUCCGCAUUCGGGACCGGCUAAUCAAGUUUUGUGUGAUUGUCGAUAUCGACAACACCGGUCAAUAUCAUUAACUAUUCUCACCCGAAUAGUUAAUCAAGUUCAGUAUCCCUCGUUUUCAGGGAUGAUUAUGCCAAUGUUAGUAAACCUUACUAUCAUCAUUAGCCUCCGCAUUCGGGACCGGCUAAUCAAGUUUCGAGGAAUGAUCAUCAUUGAAGUCUAUUAGUGUAAUUCAUAUUCUUAACCCAAUCAAGUACUCAAAUCCAUUUUUAAUUUCUCGUUUAUUUCACUUUAUCCUCUCUCUUUGUGGUUUCACCCAUAGAAGCAAAGACGAAGAAUUUAAUAAGUUAGUAAAUUAACGCUACGUAAAAAGUGUAGGUAUAGAACACCUACCAGCUGCAGAAGCUCAACUCGCUCUUCCUUGUUGUUGUUAUGACCCUCUUGCAGUCCCUCCUUAAGCUCCUACUAUAUGAGCUCCUGAGAAGUCGAGUGAAUGCUUCUCCUGAAAUUUAGAGACCUGCUGUUCGGGAAGUACAAUUUCUGGUAGGAGUGUUCUUUUCCGAUCUAAACCGUUCAGAAUUUAUAUAACAUCUGGAUGAACAACAUAUCCAAAAUCCAGACCAAUCCAACGGUGAAACGAUGAUAUAACGGCCGAUGAACAAGGCUGUCUUGAAGGGUGAUUUUCCAGAAAUGUUCCUCCAG